rnacentral:rRNA from 1 species
AUGGCUGAGCCAACAGGCCUUGCUGAGGCUUUCGAGAAGCUUGCUAAGAUCUUCGAGGAGUCGAAAUCUGGGGCCAUCGUUCCUCGACAGGAAGUGGCUCAGAAGAUCGAACUGUCGCCCAUGGACAUGAAGUUAGAGGGGGCUACCAAUUAUCUGAGCUGGUCCCGGAGGGCGUUGCUGGCUGUGGAACAGAAGGAGCUUGAUGGGCACUUGUUGGGUGUUGUUGCUGAACCAGGAGACAAGACUACUGUGGAGGGAAAAAGAUGGAAGGUCAUAAACUCUGUGCUCAUUGGCUGGUUGUUGAACUCGGUGGUGCCCCCCAUUGGACGCUCUGUGGAGGGGCUAUCCACAUCCGCUGCGAUAUGGACGACUCUGUCCACCUUGUACUCAGAGCUGCAGGCUUUGUGGGCAGAGCAGGAUAACUGCGACCCUCUGGAACUCUACGAUGCAGCUUGCAUCGAGUCAGGGCGCAAGUGGAUUGCACGCAGGCGUGUGCUGAAACUGUUGGAGGGGCUUAGAGGUUGUUUUCAUGGCAGGAGGGCAUCCCUGUUGCACCAACCUCUCCUGCCCUCUAUUGAGGAGACUAUUGCUGCUAUGUCUCAAGAGGAGGUGCGGCUAUCUCUUGAGCAUGCAGACAUGAAGGCUGUGCCGUCUCCGACAUUUGGAGUCACUGAGCGCAUGGAGUGGAGCGAUCCCAACAAAUGUCAUAUCUGUGGGGAGGCAGGUCACUGGAAGUGGGCGUGUCCAACUCGUGGCAGAGGCAGGGAAUACAACGGAGGGGAAACUGGCAGAGGCAGGAGUGCUAGAGGCAGAGGUGGAUACUCAGGGACCUCAAGGGGUCAGGCUUCUAGGGGCAGAGGUGGCUACUCAGGACACUCAGGGGAUCAGAGGGCUCACAUGACAGUGGCAGGAGACACUGGGACGUCAAAAGGCAAAGAUGCAGAUGAUGCUGACUAUGGAGACUUUGCUCUCUGGGCCUCCACUGAUGAAGGUAAUCCAGAACAGGCAUCUCUUGCUUCUAAUGGGAGUGCUCCAGAGUGGGUUCUCGACUCUGGAGCAUCUAAGCAUGUUGCGAGUAAAUCUUGCGUGUUUGAGUCUUACACUAAGCACCCUCCGUCUCACACGGGCACUAUGCAAACUGCUGAUGGCACAAACCAGCCUGUCAUAGGGGUUGGCACAGUCAAGUGCACUCCGACCAUCUCCCUAUCCUCAGUUUUACAUGUGCCGGCUUUUCCUGUCAAUUUGGUCUCCUUCAGUGCCCUAAUUGAUCAAAUUGACUGUCGUGUGAUCCUUGACAAAUUUGGUUGCGUGAUUCAGGAGCGACAGACGAGCUAG